rnacentral:ncRNA from 1 species
AUAAUAGCGCAGAAAAAGAGGAGUACGCCAAGCUCCUUUGCAAAAGAGAUGCGGCUUCACCGGCUGAAAGGGCUGCUUGCGAAGAUUGGCGGAAGGUCGCUUUGGAGCUAUUUUGGAUGAAACAGCAGUAGUCCGAAACGUGCGCGCCGCGUUAAGGCGCAUAGAGCGGGGCAUAUUAUGCCCAACAAAGGUGGUACCGCGGAGCUUCCGUCCUUUAA